rnacentral:rRNA from 1 species
GACGAACGCUGGCGGCGUGCUUAACACAUGCAAGUCGAACGGAAAGGCCCUGCGUUUGUGGGGUGCUCGAGUGGCGAACGGGUGAGUAACACGUGAGUAACCUGCCCUUGACUUUGGGAUAACUUCAGGAAACUGGGGCUAAUACCGGAUAGGAGCUCCUGCUGCAUGGUGGGGGUUGGAAAUUUUCGGCGGUUGGGGAUGGACGCGCGGCUUAUCAGCUUGCUGGUGGGGUAGUGGCUUACCAAGGCUUUGACGGGUAGCCGGCCUGAGAGGGGGACCGGGCACAUUAGGACUGAGGUACGGCGCAGACUCCUACGGGAGGCAGCAGUGGGGAAUAUUGCACAGUGGGAGGGAGCCUGAUGCAGAAACGCCGCGUGCGGGAUGACGGUCUUCGGGUUGUAAACCGCUUUCGGCUGUGACGAAGCGUGAGUGACGGUAAUGGGUAAAUAAGCACCGGCUAACUACGUG